UUACAUCACAGCAGCGCCCCGCGUGACGUCAGCGCCCCUCUCCGUUUCCCCAACGCCCGCGGAGGGGAAAGGGCGGAAGGGAGGAGGAGGCGGCCCUGCUCCGCCCCAUUUCUAGAGUGGCGUCUGCCUAAACCAAUAAAAAGCCGUAUAGUUCUGAGCGAUGCGGAAGGCAGCCAAUGAGAGGGGAGAGACGGCCGGUGGGGGGCGGAGCGAGCGGACGGGCGGCCGCGGCGGUUUGGGCUGCGCCUGUCAGCGCGGCGGCGGGAUGGCGGCGCUGUACGCCUGCACCAAGUGCCACCAGCGCUUCCCCUUCGAGGCGCUCAGCCAGGGCCAGCAGCUCUGCAAGGAGUGCCGGAUUGCGCAUCCCAUUGUUAAAUGCACUUACUGCAGGACUGAAUUCCAGCAGGAAAGCAAAACCAACACGAUAUGCAAGAAGUGUGCUCAGAACGUGAAGCUCUAUGGCACACCAAAACCUUGCCAGUACUGCAACAUCAUCGCAGCGUUUAUUGGCAACAAGUGUCAGCGUUGCACAAACUCAGAAAAGAAGUACGGACCUCCACACUCCUGUGAGCAGUGCAAGCAGCAGUGUGCCUUCGACAGGAAGGAUGACAGAAAGAAGGUGGAUGGAAAGCUGCUCUGCUGGUUAUGCACACUGUCCUACAAACGGGUCCUACAGAAGACCAAAGAGCAGUGCAAGCACCUGAGCAGCUCCUCCCGAGCCAGCCUGCAAGAGAAGGAACAAUACAGCAGGCUCAGCAGCGGCAGCCAUUAUAACAGCCAGAAAACCUUAUCCACCUCUUCUAUUCAGAAUGAAAUCCCAAAGAAGAAAGCCAAGUUUGAUGCCAUAUCUGCCAAUGGUGACAGCGUUCCUUCCUCUCCCGAGAUGCUUUGCCCCCCUAUCCAGAGUGCCCCGUCCACGUUGGCGCAGUGGGCUGCUUCCCAACAGAGUCUCGGUGCCCACCAUUGUCCUGUUUCUCAAGGCACUGACAUCCUGAAUUUUUCUCCGGACCUCGCCUUGGACUCUCCUGGCACUGACCACUUUGUUAUCAUUGCCCAGCUGAAGGAGGAGGUGGCUACUUUAAAGAAGAUGCUGCACCAGAAAGAUCAGAUGAUUUUGGAGAAGGAGAAGAAGAUCACGGAGCUGAAGGCCGACUUGCAGUACCAGGAGUCGCAGAUGAGAGCAAAGAUGAACCAAAUGGAGAAGACGCACAAGGAGGUCAUGGAGCAGUUACAGUGGUUUCCCGAGGCCAGGCACGCCGGUCACUCUGUGCAUGGAGGAGUAUAUAUCCUUCCUGAUGCUGCCUUUGCUGUAGUUAAAAGAGCAUGUCUGUCUUGAAAGCUCUCAGACACCUUCCAACAGCCUUAAACUUGCUCAAUUCUGUACAUCAGAUCCAUGAGCGGGUUGGCCACCCUCCUCUGCUGGGUGGAGAGGGGCUUGCAUGUCUGUCCCCUGUGGUGCUGUCCCGUCCUUAGCUCGGUGGGACUGCCCUGACCUCCUCCUUUCUGCUGUCUGAAUGUUCUACUUCAGCUGCUGUUGACUGAGGCUCUGGAAACUUUCCUUGCUGAUUCCAAAAUAAAAGUUCGAAUCGUCUCGGUGUACUGUAGGUGCCUGGAAGCGUUCAUACGAUUCACUUUUUUCAACGUGCUCCUGGUUUAUUUUGUCCUGGUUUCUUUUUCAUUGUGGGGGGAAGCAGGGAGACUGUGUUCUUCCAGCACGCAGGAGGCAAAAGAAGCUGCUUUAUCACAUGCAGCGCUGGAGCUGAGGGUUUAAUUGCUCUAAUAACGUUUGCAUAUCCAAUCAUUCACUGCAAACUGGUGCAGAAGGGCUGUAUCUGGUUUUGCAUGGGUUCUCCCCUUACCCUGCUGAAAUAGCACAAAUUACUAUGUAGGCUGCAGGUGAGCGAGCUCGGAAGUUUGGUAAAAGAGAUGAAGAGCCUUGUUUGCCAAGAACAGAGAACUCCUGAAGCAAGCAGCUGCCCUAUCCAAGGGCAAAAAGCCUGAGAAGUCGGGAGCAAUAACAUCCCCUUAAAACCAAACCCCCAGUGUGGGAGCUUUCCCCAGCAUUAGCCAAGGAGUCUAGGAGGCCUGCCUGAUCGCUGGAAGCCACAACCUCAGUGUUGUCACUAUCCCACUGCUGUGGACUCGAUGGAAACGCCCGGGGUGUGUUGCCUUUCGACAGCAUGCUUGAGUGUGUCUGGUUUCGGUCUCUGAAUUGUGUUCUGUAUCAUGGCGAUCCAUGGGGAGAGGUCCCAGCCACCCUAAGUCCCCCCCGAAGUACUGCUUACUGGAAGAACUGACCAGUUACUACCACUGCCAACUCUUUCUAUUAGCAAACAGGAACCUGCUGCAUUACAGCCUGCUUGCUGGUUUCAGACCUGCUGCUGUGAGGCAAUAGCCGUGGCCAGUUGUUACGCAGAUGAGACAGGAGCUGUGUGGUGGGAGCUUGAUUUUUCUCGAACUGUUCCCUCUUGGAAAGGAAGCCGAUCAAUCACCAGCCCGACAGCUGUUACUGGAAGGUGCUGCCACUGCUGAGAACGGUUCGUCCAUCCUCUUGAAAAGGCUUCCAAAAUGGGGGCUAUCUAUUUAUCUUGGAGGGUUGGUGGGUUUGGGUUUUGUGUUUUUUGGGGUUUUUUUUGUGUCGUUUUUCUUCUUUUUUCUUUUCUUUUUUUUUUUUUUUUUUCCUCUUUUUUUUUUUUUUUUUUUUCCGACGUCAGCUUGACAAACUUGACUGCUGGGUUUUGGUUUUAUUUUUAUUUUUAUUUUUCUCGUUUCGUUACGAUCGCUUUCGGGUUGCCAGCCAGAGGGGAACGAUGCCUCCCCAGAGCCGCCUCGUCCCCCGGUGCCGUGGUCACGUAGUGGCCUCCAGGGCUUGAUAUGAUCGAGCAUUUACUCCGUUUCUUUACAUGAGGACAGUUCAAGGCUCGGCUGUUGCCUGCGCUCCCUCAGAGCCCGCGCCGAGUUCGCCCUCUCCCCCCCCUUCCCCUGCCCCUCUGCUCCCUUCCAGAUGCAGAAGCAGGGGCCAGGUUGGCUCCAGGAAAGUGCUUACUGAGGCAGCGUCCCAAGCCAGGAAGCAUUUCUCGGGACUCUCCGGGGACAUUUCUCACUGCCAACCCAAAGCCGGCAGAAUAAAAGGGCUACGAAAGUUCCCUGCAACGGGGCCGUGCUUCUCAGAAACGGGACGAGCGGAGCCCGCGGCCCCUUCCACCGAGGCCGGCGGGGGCGGGCGCUCCCCAGGCGCCUCGGGGGGCACGGGAAGCCCUUGGCACUGGGGGGAAACGGCAGCAGUGCUCCGUGACAUCCCAGCCCCCAGCUCCGUGCGGGGCAUGAAGAAACAGCUCAGGGUUCGGAGACCCUCGGGGCGGAGGGGGAGGGGGUGACACCUUAGUGCGGAGCAGUGCCAGUGGUAGGUAGUGAAAAGGAGAAGCUGCCCUCUGAGGCAGGGCUGCUUGCUCUGCCGGGGUUUUUAUGAAGCUUUUAACUAGACUUUGUGAUAGGGUUUUUUUUUUUUUUUUCCCUGCUUUUUUUUUUUUUUUUUUUGUUACUAAAGAUGACUUUACUCAAAGGCACUUUUUGAUGAUGUUGGCUUCCGGCAUGGAAGGAGCACGCUGCAGCAUCAGACACUCUGCCACAUCUUUGGUUUGUUCUCUUUGCUUUUUUUACAAGAGACUUCUGAAGUGAGGGAAAGGGAAAGAAUUUAAAAAAAAAAAAAAAAAAAAAAAAAAAGGGGUUGUUACGCUUUGCCAGAGUGUGACAGCUGGAAAAUCCUCACCUAAUUUUAUACUUCACACGUUUUUAGAAAAUGAGGUGCAUUGGUGGGAUUUUUUUUUAAACGGGGGCUUUGCUUUUUUCUGCUUCCCUCAAGAAACAGAUACACGGAGGGAGGAAGGCCCUGUGUAUCCUAUUAAGGGUUUCUGUUGUUUUGUUUCUCUCUCUCUCUCUCCUUUUUUUUUUUUUUUUUUCUAAAUGGUGACAAAAAGUUGAGUAGCCGAUGAUUUGUAGUAAGAACAUUGUUUUCUUUGUAUGUUUGUAAUAAUGGAGAUUUUAAAAAAGGGAUGCUUUGAUUUGUACCAAACUCUGACACAUGUUAAAGCGUUUUCAAAAAUCCUCA